rnacentral:misc_RNA from 1 species
GUGAAUCAUCGAAUCUUUGAACGCAAAUUGCACUCUCUGGUAUCCCGGAGAGUAUGCCUGUUUGAGGGUCAGUUGAAAUAAAAAUCGGUGUGGUUGCUGCCUUUCGUGUUGACGCACCGGAUGUGGGUCGUCUUGCCUUCGGUUAAGUGACCUAAAAUUUUGCAGGGUUUUUUCGAACGGAUUUAAUUGAUUUUACGUUCGUUUGCGAU